UACGAAGGGGGCUAGCGUUGCUCGGAAUCACUGGGCGUAAAGGGUGCGUAGGCGGGUCUUUAAGUCAGGGGUGAAAUCCUGGAGCUCAACUCCAGAACUGCCUUUGAUACUGAAGAUCUUGAGUUCGGGAGAGGUGAGUGGAACUGCGAGUGUAGAGGUGAAAUUCGUAGAUAUUGGGAAGAACACCGGUGGCGAAGGCGGCUCACUGGCUCGUAACUGACGCUCAUGCACGACAGCGUGGGGAGCAAACAGG
rnacentral:rRNA from 1 species